CCUACGGGUGGCAGCAGUGAGGAAUAUUGGUCAAUGGGCGGAAGCCUGAACCAGCCAAGUAGCGUGCAGGAUGACGGCCCUAUGGGUUGUAAACUGCUUUUAUACGGGAAUAACGCGCCUUACGUGUAGGUCUUUGCAUGUACCGUAUGAAUAAGGACCGGCUAAUUCCGUGCCAGCAGCCGCGGUAAUACGGAGGUUCCGGGCGUUAUCCGGAUUUAUUGGGUUUAAAGGGAGCGUAGACCGCAUGUCAAGCGUGCUGUGAAAUGUUGGGGCUCAACCCGGGCAUUGCAGUGCAUACUGGCAUGCUUGAGUGCAGGGGAGGCAGGCGGAAUUCGUGGUGUAGCGGUGAAAUGCUUAGAUAUGACGAAGAACCCCGAUUGCGAAGGCAGCUUGCUGCAGCGGAACUGACGCUGAUGCUCGAAAGCGCGGGUAUCGAACAGGAUUAGAUACCCUUGUAGUC
rnacentral:rRNA from 1 species